rnacentral:misc_RNA from 1 species
GUCAGAUGUGUAUAAGAGACAGGUGAGUCAUCGAAUCUUUGAACGCACAUUGCGCCCCGUGGUAUUCCGCGGGGCAUGCCUGUUCGAGCGUCAUUUAAACCAAUCCAGCUUGCUGGGUCUUGGGCCUCGCCUCUGGGCGGGCCUUAAAGUCAGUGGCGGCGCCACCCGGCUCUAAGCGUAGUAAUUCUUCUCGCUACAGAGCCCUGGGCGGAGGCUUGCCAGGCAACCCCUAAUUUUCAAAGGUUGACCUCGGAUCAGGUAGGGAUACCCGCUGAACUUAAGCAUAUCAAUAAGCGGAGG